rnacentral:rRNA from 1 species
UACGUAGGGGGCGAGCGUUGUCCGGAGUUACUGGGCGUAAAGCGCACGCAGGCGGUCUGCUAAGUUUGGAGUGACAGUUGGUGGCUUAACUGCCAAAGUGCUUCGAAAACUGACAGACUUGAGGGCUUCAGAGGGACACGGAAUUCCGGGUGGAGUGGUGAAAUGCGUAGAGAUCCGGAGGAACACCAAAGGCGAAGGCAGUGUCCUGGGGAGUACCUGACGCUCAAGUGCGAAAGCCAGGGGAGCGAACGGG